rnacentral:misc_RNA from 1 species
GAUGAAGAACGCAGCGAAAUGCGAUAAGUAAUGCGAAUUGCAGAAUUCAGUGAGUCAUCGAAUCUUUGAACGCACAUUGCGCCCUGUGGUAUUCCGCAGGGCAUGCCUGUUCGAGCGUCAUUUCAACCCUCAAGCUCUGCUUGGUGUUGGGCCCUGCCCGCUGCGGCCGGCCCUAAAGACAGUGGCGGUGCCGCCUGUCCCUGAGCGUAGUACAUCUCUCGCUCCAGUGCCCGGUGGUAGCCUGCCAGAACCCCAACUCUCGUGGUUGACCUCGGAUCAGGUAGGGAUACCCGCUGAACUUAAGCAUAUCAAUAAGCGGAGGA